rnacentral:rRNA from 1 species
GACGAACGCUGGCGGCGUGCUUAAUACAUGCAAGUCGAGCGAGGUUACUGUUUCGGAUCCCUUCGGGGUGAAGAAGCUUUAACCUAGCGGCGGACGGGUGAGUAACGCGUGGGUAACCUACCCCAAAGUCCGGGAUAACAGCGGGAAACCGCUGCUAAUACCGGAUGCCUUUACCUUGGGGCAUCUUGAGGUAAAGAAAGGCAACGCUUUGGGAUGGGCCCGCGUCCCAUUAGCUAGUUGGUGAGGUAACGGCUCACCAAGGCGACGAUGGGUAGCCGGCCUGAGAGGGUGGACGGCCACACUGGGACUGAGACACGGCCCAGACUCCUACGGGAGGCAGCAGUAGGGAAUAUUGCGCAAUGGACGGAAGUCUGACGCAGCGACGCCGCGUGAGCGAUGAAGGUCUUCGGAUCGUAAAGCUCUGUCCUUGGGGAAGAAGGUCUUCGGACUUGACGGUACCCAAGAAGAAAGCCCCGGCUAACUACGUGCCAGCAGCCGCGGUAAAAUACUCUAU